UACGAAGGGGGCUAGCGUUGUUCGGAAUUACUGGGCGUAAAGCGCACGUGGGCGGACUACUAAGUCAGGGGUGAAAUCCCGGGGCUCAACCCCGGAACUGCCUUUGAUACUGAUAGUCUCGAGUCCGGAAGAGGUGAGUGGAAUUCCGAGUGUAGAGGUGAAAUUCGUAGAUAUUCGGAGGAACACCAGUGGCGAAGGCGGCUCACUGGUCCGGUACUGACGCUGAGGUGCGAAAGCGUGGGGAGCAAACAGG
rnacentral:rRNA from 1 species